CACGUAGGGGGCGAGCGUUGUCCGGAAUCAUUGGGCGUAAAGAGCUCGUAGGCGGCUCGGUAAGUCGGGUGUGAAACCCCCAGGCUCAACCUGGGGACGCCACCCGAUACUGCUGUGGCUAGAGUCCAGUAGGGGAGUGUGGAAUUCCCGGUGUAGCGGUGAAAUGCGCAGAUAUCGGGAGGAACACCGGUGGCGAAGGCGGCAUCCUGGACCAACACUGACACUGAGGAGCGAAAGCCAGGGGAGCAAACGGG
rnacentral:rRNA from 1 species